rnacentral:rRNA from 1 species
CAUGCAAGUCGUGCGAGAAAGUAUCUUCGGAUAUGAGUAGAGCGGCGGACGGGUGAGUAACGCGUAGGAAUCUACCUAGUAGAAGGGGAUAGCCCGGGGAAACCCGGAUUAAUACCGUAUACCUCCUUCGGGAGAAAGAAGGCCUCUCUUUGAAGCUUUCGCUACUAGAUGAGCCUGCGUAAGAUUAGCUUGUUGGUGAGGUAAAGGCUCACCAAGGCGACGAUCUUUAGCUGGUCUGAGAGGACGAUCAGCCACAUUGGGACUGAGACACGGCCCAGACUCCUACGGGAGGCAGCAGUGGGGAAUAUUGGACAAUGGGCGCAAGCCUGAUCCAGCCAUACCGCGUGUGUGAAGAAGGCCUUCGGGUUGUAAAGCACUUUAAGCAGGGAGAAAAAGUUAUAAGUUAAUACCUUAUAACCCUGAUGUUACCUGCAGAAUAAGCACCGGCUAAUUCCGUGCCAGCAGCCGCGGUAAUACGGAAGGUGCAAGCGUUAAUCGGAAUUACUGGGCGUAAAGCGCGCGUAGGUGGUUUGUUAAGUUGGAUGUGAAAGCCCUGGGCUCAACCUAGGAACUGCAUCCAAAACUAACUCACUAGAGUACGAUAGAGGGAGGUAGAAUUCAUAGUGUAGCGGUGGAAUGCGUAGAUAUUAUGAAGAAUACCAGUGGCGAAGGCGGCCUCCUGGAUCUGUACUGACACCGAGGUGCGAAAGCGUGGGUAGCGAACAGGAUUAGAUACCCUGGUAGUCCACGCCGUAAACGAUGACAACUAGCUGUUGGGAGACUAUGUCUUUCAGUGGCGCAGCUAACGCUUUAAGUUGUCCGCCUGGGGAGUACGGCCGCAAGGCUAAACUCAAAUGAAUUGACGAGGACCC